rnacentral:rRNA from 1 species
GAUGAACGCUGGCGGCGUGCUUAACACAUGCAAGUCGAACGAAGCACUGGAGCGGAAUCCCUUCGGGGAGGAAGCGCCUUUGACUGAGUGGCGGACGGGUGAGUAACGCGUGGGUAACCUGCCCCAUACAGGGGGAUAACAGCCGGAAACGGCUGCUAAUACCGCAUGUACAUGCGGGGGCGCAUGCCCCUGGAUGGAAAGCAUUAGCGGUAUGGGAUGGGCCCGCGUCUGAUUAGGCAGUUGGCGGGGUAGCGGCCCACCAAACCGACGAUCAGUAGCCGGCCUGAGAGGGCGACCGGCCACAUUGGGACUGAGACACGGCCCAA